CCGGCCCGGUAUCCCUUUUUUAUAUCUUCNAAAAGUUGACCUCGGAUCAGGUAGGAAUACCCGCUGAACUUAAGCAUAUCAAUAAGCGGAGNNAAAGAAACCAACAGGGAUUACCCUAGUAACGGCGAGUGAAGCGGUAACAGCUCAAAUUUGAANUCUGGUCUUCACGGGCCCGAGUUGUAAUUUGUAGAGGAUGUUUCGGNCAAGGCCCAGGCUUAAGUUUCUUGGAACAGAACGUCAUAGAGGGUGAGAGUCCCGUCUAGAGCCGCCGGCCGCGUCCAUGUGAAACUCNUUCGACGAGUCGAGUUGUUUGGGAAUGCAGCUCAAAAUGGGUGGUAAAUUUCAUCUAAAGCUAAAUAUUGGCCAGAGACCGAUAGCGCACAAGUAGAGUGAUCGAAAGAUGAAAAGCACUUUGAAAAGAGAGUUAAACAGUAUGUGAAAUUGUUGAAAGGGAAGCGCUUGUAACCAGACUUGUGUGUGUCGGUUCCCCCGGUCUUUUGACCAGGUUAUUCCGUCACGUCCAGGCCAGCAUCGGUUCGGGUGGUCGGUUAAAGGUCUUGGGCAUGUAUCUACCUCCGGGUCGACUUAUAGCCCAAGGCGUCAUGCGGCCUACCUGGACCGAGGAACGCGCUUUUGCUCGGAUGCUGGCGUAAUGGCUAUAAGCGGCC
rnacentral:rRNA from 1 species